rfam:Schistosoma curassoni strain Dakar, Senegal genome assembly, scaffold: SCTD_scaffold0001515
AUCCAGCUGAUGAGUCCCAAAUAGGUCGAAACGCGCGUUCUGGUU